GUAGGGAAUAUUGCGCAAUGGGGGAAACCCUGACGCAGCGACGCCGCGUGAGUGAUGAAGGCCUUCGGGUCGUAAAGCUCUGUUGCAGGGGAAUAAAAAAAUGAAGGUACCCUGUGAGGAAGGAUCGGCUAACUUCGUGCCAGCAGCCGCGGUAAGACGAGGGAUCCUAGCGUUGCUCGGAAUCAUUGGGCGUAAAGAGGGCGUAGGUGGCUUGGUAAGUCAGGUGUGAAAGCCCAGGGCUCAACCCUGGAAGUGCAUUUGAUACUGGUGGGCUUGAGUGUCGGAGGGGUUACCGGAAUACCUGGUGUAGUGGUGAAAUACGUAGAUAUCAGGUGGAACACCGGAGGCGAAGGCGGGUAACUGGACGAACACUGACACUGAGGCCCGAAAGCGUGGGGAUCAAACAGGAUUAGAUACCCUGGUAGUCC
rnacentral:rRNA from 1 species